AUAUCUGAAGAAAGCAUUCCAUACCUUUUGGGCUUUGGAAAAUGUGUUGUAUAAGAUUGAUCAUUCCAAAGGUUAACUCUGCAACAAGUCCCCCUGACCAAGACUGUUACCCAGAGUGGGUGCGAGGCCUGUAAGUGCUAGGCCUUCUUUAGAUGCAAUUUCCUGGGACUUGGGUUGCAACUCUAAUUGGAUGGUAAACUUCACGUAAAGCUAAAUACUGCUAUGAGGCUGUUAUCAAACAAAUACCAUGAGG
rnacentral:ncRNA from 1 species